rnacentral:rRNA from 1 species
CCUACGGGAGGCAGCAGUGGGGAAUAUUGGACAAUGGGCGAAAGCCUGAUCCAGCAAUGCCGCGUGAGUGAUGAAGGCCUUCGGGUCGUAAAGCUCUUUUACCAGGGAUGAUAACGACAGUACCUGGAGAAUAAGCUCCGGCUAACUCCGUGCCAGCAGCCGCGGUAAUACGGAGGGAGCUAGCGUUGUUCGGAAUUACUGGGCGUAAAGAGUACGUAGGCGGUUAUUCAAGUCAGAGGUGAAAGCCCGGGGCUCAACCCCGGAACUGCCUUUGAAACUAGAUAACUAGAGUCUUGGAGAGGUUAGUGGAAUUCCGAGUGUAGAGGUGAAAUUCGUAGAUAUUCGGAAGAACACCAGUGGCGAAGGCGACUAACUGGACAAGUACUGACGCUGAGGUACGAAAGCGUGGGGAGCAAACAGGAUUAGAUACCCUGGUAGUCCACGCCGUAAACGAUGAUAACUAGUUGUUCGGUCACUUGGUGACUGAGUGACGCAGCUAACGCAUUAAGUUAUCCGCCUGGGGAUACGGUCGCAAGNUUAAAACUCAAAAGAUAUAGCGNGNGAGAGCGACGACGACGACGACGAGGAGAG